rnacentral:rRNA from 1 species
UUUCGCAAUGCCCGAAAGGGUGACGAAGCGACGCCGCGUGUGGGAAGAAGGCCUUCGGGUUGUAAACCACUGUCGGGAGUUAAGAAAUACAAGGAUAUUAAUAGUGUCUUUGUUUGACUAAGGCUCCGGAGGAAGCCACGGCUAACUCUGUGCCAGCAGCCGCGGUAAUACAGAGGCGGCAAGCGUUGUUCGGAGUUAUUGGGCGUAAAGAGCACGUAGGCGGCUAUGUAAGUCGGUUGUGAAAGCCUUCCGCUCAACGGAAGAACAGCAUCCGAUACUACAUGGCUUGAGUGCGGGAGGGGAGAGUGGGACUUCUGGUGGAGCGGUGAAAUGCGUAGAUAUCAGAAGGAACGCCGGCGGCGAAAGCGGCUCUCUGGCCCAUAACUGACGCUGAGUGUGCGAAAGCUAGGGGAGCAAACGGGAUUAGAUACCCCGGUAGUCCUAGCCGUAAACGAUGGGCACUAAGUAGAGGGGUUUU